rnacentral:rRNA from 1 species
GGUCCCGCCUGCCCUGUGACUAUGGGUUUAACGGCCGCGGUAUUUUGACCGUGCAAAGGUAGCGCAAUCACUUGUCUUUUAAAUGGAGACCUGUAUGAAUGGCACGACGAGGGCCCAACUGUCUCCUCUCCCCAGUCAGUGAAAUUGAUCUUCCCGUGCAGAAGCGGGAUUACCCCCAUAAGACGAGAAGACCCCAUGGAGCUUUAGACACUAGGCAGCCCACAUUAAACAAACCUGUACAACCAGGGAGAAUUUAGUGGCCCCUCCCCUACUUGUCUUUGGUUGGGGCGACCACGGAGGAAAAAAUAGCCUCCCUGAGGACUGGGGGUACUACCCCUACAGCCAAGAACCACUGUUCUAAGCAACAGAACAUCUGACCACCACGAUCCGGCGCACGCCGAUCAACGGACCGAGUUACCCUGGGGAUAACAGCGCAAUCCUCUCCCAGAGUCCCUAUCGACGAGGGGGUUUACGACCUCGAUGUUGGAUCAGGACAUCCUAAUGGUGCAGCCGCUAUUAAGGGUUCGUUUGUUCAACGAUUAAAGUCCUACGUGAUC